UAAAANUCGUAACAAGGUUUCCGUNGGUGAACCUGCGGAAGGAUCAUUAUCGAGUUUUGACUGGGUUGUAGCUGGCCUUCCGAGGCAUGUGCACGCCCUGCUCAUCCACUCUACACCUGUGCACUUACUGUGGGCUUCAGAUCGUAAAACGGGUCCCUUUACCGGGCUUGCGGAGCGUGUCUGUGCCUGCGUUUAUCACAAACUCUAUAAAGUAUCAGAAUGUGUAUUGCGAUGUAACGCAUCUAUAUACAACUUUCAGCAACGGAUCUCUUGGCUCUCGCAUCGAUGAAGAACGCAGCGAAAUGCGAUAAGUAAUGUGAAUUGCAGAAUUCAGUGAAUCAUCGAAUCUUUGAACGCACCUUGCGCUCCUUGGUAUUCCGAGGAGCAUGCCUGUUUGAGUGUCAUGAAAUCUUCAACCUGCAAGCUUUUGUGGUUUGUAGGCUUGGACUUGGAGGCUUGUCGGCCGUUGUUGGUCGGCUCCUCUUAAAUGCAUUAGCUUGGUUCCUUGCGGAUCGGCUCUCAGUGUGAUAAUGUCUACGCUGCGACCGUGAAGCGUUUGGCGAGCUUCUAACCGUCUCAGUUGGAGACAACUUUAUGACCUCUGACCUCAAAUCAGGUAGGACUACCCGCUGAACUUAAGCA
rnacentral:rRNA from 1 species